rnacentral:miRNA from 1 species
AAAUGAUUCACUUGGGGAUUUUGUUAAAAAUUCAGAUUAUGAUGCAGGUAGAGAUCAAGAUUCUGAAAUUCUAGCACACCUCCAGGUGAUGUUGUU